AUUGAACGCUGGCGGCAUGCCUUACACAUGCAAGUCGAGCGGCAGCGCGGGGGCAACCCUGGCGGCGAGCGGCGGACGGGUGAGUAAUACAUCGGAACGUGUCCUUUUGUGGGGGAUAACCAGUCGAAAGACUGGCUAAUACCGCAUGAGAUCUCACGAUGAAAGCGGGGGACCCGCAAGGGCCUCGCGCAAUUGGAGCGGCCGAUGUCGGAUUGGCUAGUUGGCGGGGUAAAAGCCCACCAAGGCUACGAUCCGUAGCUGGUUUGAGAGAACGACCAGCCACACUGGGACUGAGACACGGCCCAGACUCCUACGGGAGGCAGCAGUGGGGAAUUUUGGACAAUGGGGGCAACCCUGAUCCAGCCAUGCCGCGUGUGUGAAGAAGGCCUUCGGGCUGUAAAGCUCUGUCGCCCGGGACGAACGGUCGUAAGGUUAACAGCCUUAUGGAUUGACGGUACCGGGAGAGGAAGCACCGGCUAACUCUGUGCCAGCCGCCGCCGUAA
rnacentral:rRNA from 1 species